UUCAUCCAAAAAACUUUUAUUGUGUGCAGGUAUACGGUGUUAGGUGUAUUAUGCAAAGAGGAAUCAGAAAAGUUGCCAUUGUUAAUAGUUAAUAGAGAGUUAAUAGUCUAACAGAAGACAUAAGUGCAUAAAUAAUAACACACAAUUUAUAAAAUGAUAGACAUCUCUAGAAAGGAACAGAAAAAACAAUUUCUACUUCAAGUUGGUCGUCCAUUUUUGGAGAGCCAGUUAAGAUGCUACCCCUCAGUCAGAUUGCUUGUGUAAGUAAGAUUAAGGGCAAGGCAGACAGCGAUUUAAUACUUUUUGUUUUUGUGUAUGUGAGAAUUUUUAUGAUUAUAAAAGUAAUGCAUGAGAAAAUGGGCAAGGGACUUGAACAGACAUUCACAGAAGGCUAGUCAACAUAUGCAAAGGGGCUUCAGCUCAUUAGAAAACAGGGAAAUGCAACUAACCAUCCUGAGAAACCACUACACACCCACCCAAAAGGGCUAAGAUGAUACCACGUGUUCACCGAAAUGGGCAACAAUGAGAACUCUCAUAAGCCGCUGGACAUAGAUAUUCUACUUCUAGGUUCUACCCCAGAAGAAAUGUGUGCACUUGUGAAUGAAAAGACAUGGAAAAAGAAUGUUCAUAGCAGCGUUAUUCAUCACAGCAGCGCUGUCCGUCAACAGUAAAGCAGGUAGAUACAUUUUGGAAGAUUCAUAACUGUAAAUACUAUGGUAUUUUUCUGUACAGUCCUUUUUGUGCAUAUGUAAUAUUAAAGAUACGCCCUCUGUGCCCUUCCAUUAAAAAUGUAAUAACACAA